rnacentral:rRNA from 1 species
CUUGGUCAUUUAGAGGAAGUAAAAGUCGUAACAAGGUUUCCGUAGGUGAACCUGCGGAAGGAUCAUUAUUGUAAAACAGAGGGGGUGUCCUCCACCCUGCUCCGGCUUUGCGGCCGUGAGCGGGUGGUCGCGCCCCUUUCCACAACCAAACCCCUGUGCACAUCUCUGGGGACUUCUGGUGGGUUCGCGCCUGCCGAGUCCCUGGCUUUACACAAACUCUUCUAUGUCUAUAGAAUGUUCAAGGACCUCGCGUCCUGUUAACAAAUAACAACUUUCAACAACGGAUCUCUUGGCUCUCGCAUCGAUGAAGAACGCAGCGAAAUGCGAUAAGUAAUGUGAAUUGCAGAAUUCAGUGAAUCAUCGAAUCUUUGAACGCACCUUGCGCCCUUUGGUAUUCCGAUGGGCAUGCCUGUUUGAGUGUCUUGAAAUCAUCAAACCCCCGGUUUUGCGAUCGCGGGGCUUGGACUUGGGGGCUCUGCUGCCGCGAGGCGGCUCCCCCUAAAUGCAUCGGUCGGGCCUACUGGGGCUCCGUCACCUGGGCGUUGUAUUACCCUCGCUCUGCCGACGUGCCUCAGCUUUUGCGCGCCCGACCCCGACCUGCCUCUGGAGCGGCGGUCAACACUCUUUGAGAUCUGACCUCAAAUCAGGUAGGACUACCCGCUGAACUUAAGCAUAUCAAUAAGCGGAGGA